rnacentral:rRNA from 1 species
UACAGAGGUCCCGAGCGUUGUUCGGAUUCACUGGGCGUAAAGGGUGCGUAGGUGGUUAGGUAAGUCCGAUGUGAAAUCUCCAGGCUCAACCUGGAAAUGGCAUUGGAUACUAUUUAGCUUGAGGAGUGGAGGGGGGACUGGAAUUCUCGGUGUAGCAGUGAAAUGCGUAGAUAUCGAUAGGAACACCAGUGGCGAAGGCGAGUCCCUGGACACUUCCUGACACUGAGGCACGAAAGCUAGGGGAGCAAACAGG